AGAGUUUGAUCAUGGCUCAGAACGAACGCUGGCGGCGCGUCUUAAACAUGCAAGUCGAACGAUCUGUAGCAAUACAGGGAGUGGCGGACGGGUGAGGAACACGUAGGAAUCUACCUUGAAGAGCGGGACAACUUUGGGAAACCGGGGCUAAUACCGCAUAGUACAGAGAUGUUAAAGGGCUAGCAAUAGUCGCUUCGAGAUGAGCCUGCGGUCUAUCAGCUUGUUGGUGAGGUAAUGGCUCACCAAGGCUACGACGGAUAGCCGGUCUGAGAGGAUGAUCGGCCACACUGGCACUGAGACACGGGCCAGACUCCUACGGGAGGCAGCAGUUAAGAAUCUUGCGCAAUGGGGAAACCCUGACGCAACGACGCCGCGUGAAGGAUGAAGGCUUUCGGGUUGUAAACUUCGGUAGACUGGGAAGAAGAAAUACGUUCGUUGAGGGCGUAUAGUGACGGUACCAGUCUGAAGCCCCGGCUAAUUACGUG
rnacentral:rRNA from 1 species